CUCAGUGAUCCUGCCCACAAGCUUGUGGUUUUCUCUUUCUAUCAUUUAAAAGUUUUUAUACGAACACGUUUUUGUUUCCCUAUUCUUCUUUUUCUUUGGACACUUAUUUUAUUCUUGGCUCUUUUGUCUCCAUUUUAUAAUUAUUUGGAAUUUUUAAUAUCAUAAAAUUAACACCUCUCACUUAAUAAAACAUUUAUUUAUUCAUAUAUUUAAUCAUGCAUGCUUCUUCCAUGGGAAGCAAACCAUGCAGAAUCUACUAGUACAACGUAAAAACACGGAAAUUUUUAAAUAACAUUUCUUCUUAAAUAGCACUUCUUUAUUAAAACUAUAGAAAUUCUUAUCUAACACUUUUUCUUAAAUAACACUCCAAAACGAUGUAUUUUUAAUACUCCAUGAGUGUUGUUUAAAGAAGAAUGCUAAAUAAGAGUAGUGCUCUUAAUCCUUAUUCAUAUAUAUAUAUAUAUAUAUAUAUAUAUAUAUAUAUAUAUAUAUAUAUAUAU
rnacentral:lncRNA from 1 species